ensembl:lncRNA
CCAUAUACUAGGCACCUUCUUUCCCAGUGGGUGUUUUUCUGGCUGCUGGAUCAGGAUUGUGGAGGCUUUUCCUCAGCCCCUCCCCUGCUGCAUUUACGUGAUGAUUGGGAGUAAGUCCCUCUAAAUGUGGGGCACAACCUCUAGAGCCAACAAAAACCCCACCCUUUACCCAGAAAAGUCACAACAAAAGUUCCUCUCUCCAACCCAACUACAGACUGGGGCAGCUUGACGAGUGCUUAGCAUCAACAGAAUCUGGUUAUGGUCAUUUUUCAAAGAUGUGCUUUCCCUGGCAUCUUCCCUACAAGGACUCUGUGUGACUCAGUGGGCUUGGGGGUUCAGCCCCUGAUUGGUGUGUCACAAACUGAAAGGUGAGAUUUAGGGACAGAUUGAGCCACGGGAGACAUUCUGAAACAGAAAGGAAGAAAAAGAAAGUGAAGAGAAAGGAAAUAAUUUACAAAUCUAAAUUACACACGGGCCUUCAACCACAGCUGGCAAGUAGGUCCUAGUGUGUAAGUGUCUUCUUUUAUUCUCUCUCCAAUCUCCUUUCAAAAUUAUCCCUCCAGCCCCUGACCACUCUCACAAUCCUACCAGAUGCUGUCCUCCUCCCUUGCAAGGGACUGAAUUUAGAGGCUGACCUAGUUGAGGGGAAGGCGGGGCUGUUUCGGACUCCCUGAAUCUUCCAGUGUCAGCCUAAUGCAGAGGAGGCUUACCUUAAGACCACUGGGGUUGUCUUAUCAGCUCCCACCGUGCCUCCAGAUAGAAUCUCCUCAUGAAGUCCAGGUAGAGAGAACCCAGGCUCCCAGGAAACAGUCUUGCAGCUAUCACAUCCCUCACAAAGAAAAAGCCCUGGCAGACGCCCGCAGCUAGUAAGAGGUCGGAGUGGGCUCGAGACAAGCAUCCUCACACUUACCUCUACUGCUCCCACCCGGCUGGCCCUGCCUCAGUCCUGUCAGGGGCUGCCCUUUCCCUGCUUUUGUCGGUGCUGCAUCUGAGGCUAGUUCUUCCUUAAGUCUAACUCUGACCUCAGUCGUCUCUUUAAUGCUUUCCUCAGGGACCUGCUACCCAUGUCCAUUUAACUCACUGCACUGCUACCAAUCAGUCUGAAAUUGGUCUGAAUCUGGCG